UUCAAGGGGUGCCCGUCGACGUGGCGGGCUGAGAUGAUACCCUCAGCACCUGAUGCGGAUAAUGCCGCCGAAGGGAUGAAACG
rnacentral:ncRNA from 1 species